rnacentral:rRNA from 1 species
UGGGGAAUAUUGGACAAUGGGGGGAACCCUGAUCCAGCCAUGCCGCGUGUGUGAAGAAGGCCUUAUGGUUGUAAAGCACUUUAAGCGAGGAGGAGGGUACUGGUAUUAAUACUACCAGCUACUGGACGUUACUCGCAGAAUAAGCACCGGCUAACUCUGUGCCAGCAGCCGCGGUAAUACAGAGGGUGCGAGCGUUAAUCGGAUUUACUGGGCGUAAAGCGUGCGUAGGCGGCUAAGUGAGUCGGAUGUGAAAUCCCCGAGCUUAACUUGGGAAUUGCAUUCGAUACUGGUUAGCUAGAGUGUGGGAGAGGAUGGUAGAAUUCCAGGUGUAGCGGUGAAAUGCGUAGAGAUCUGGAGGAAGACCGAUGGCGAAGGCAGCCAUCUGGCCUAACACUGACGCUGAGGUACGAAAGCAUGGGGAGCAAACAGG